GACGUAGGGGGCCAGCGUUGUUCGGAAUUACUGGGUGUAAAGGGUUCGUAGGCGGUGUGGCAAGUCGGGAGUGAAAUUUCUGGGCUCAACUCAGAGACUGCUUCCGAAACUGCUGUGCUGGAGUGUGGGAGAGGCGCGUGGAAUUGCAGGUGUAGCGGUGAAAUGCGUAGAUAUCUGCAGGAACACCCGUGGCGAAAGCGGCGCGCUGGACCACUACUGACGCUGAGGAACGAAAGCUAGGGGAGCGAACAGG
rnacentral:rRNA from 1 species